UACGGAGGGGGCUAGCGUUGUUCGGAAUUACUGGGCGUAAAGCGCACGUAGGCGGCUUUGUAAGUUAGAGGUGAAAGCCCGGGGCUCAACUCCGGAAUUGCCUUUAAGACUGCAUCGCUAGAAUUGUGGAGAGGUAAGUGGAAUUCCGAGUGUAGAGGUGAAAUUCGUAGAUAUUCGGAAGAACACCAGUGGCGAAGGCGACUUACUGGACACAUAUUGACGCUGAGGAGCGAAAGCGUGGGGAGCAAACAGG
rnacentral:rRNA from 1 species